UACAGAGGUCCCGAGCGUUGUUCGGAUUCACUGGGCGUAAAGGGCGCGUAGGCGGCCUGAUAAGUCGGGGGUGAAAGUCAGCGGCUCAACCGCUGGACUGCCUUCGAGACUGUCGGGCUUGAGCAUGGUAGAGGCUGGCGGAAUUCCCGGUGUAGCGGUGGAAUGCGUAGAGAUCGGGAAGAACAUCGGUGGCGAAGGCGGCCAGCUGGGCCAUUGCUGACGCUGAUGCGCGACAGCGUGGGGAGCAAACAGG
rnacentral:rRNA from 1 species